UUCCCUUUCUCUAUUCUCUCUUUCGCCCCCAGCUCCCUCUGUCUCAUUUCUAUCCCUCUCCCUUUCGGACCUCACUCUUUCCUUUCUCAUCGCUGCACCAUUCCCUCCCCGAGAAACAACACACACACAUAUACACACGACGGCAUCACCACCAUCGCCAUCACGUUUGCUCUCUCUCUCUCUCUCUCUCUCUCUUCGCCUCUGUGGAGCACAGAAGAACUCUGCCAAGUUCCUCGCCUUUCUGAUGACUGGACGACGAAAUCAUACGGAGACGCCACGGGUGUGCUUAACCCAGUUUCCGGCGAGCCGUGGGUUUACGAGCCCAAGUCCGGCCACCUCUAGUCCUUUCACGGUGAACUAAAGGGGCAAUUAUGGUGGCGUUCUGUCUCCGCUAGUUUGCGUGGCUCUUCGGCGGCUAAGUAUCUGUGAGUGGACCCCUUCUAAAAAUGCAUGUUUUGAUAAUAGAAAUGCAUACAUGAAAAACAUGAUUUAAUGAUUAUGUUCUAUGAAACGCUUUGAGAUAACAUGCUUACUGAGGCUAGAUUGAAUUACUAUUAUUUUUCCUAUAACCCGUGUUCUUAUAGAAUAUCCGAUAGAUGACAAUAUGAUAUUUAGAAUAUGUUUCGAACACCUCUUUAUAAUAUAGAUGAUGGAUGACUUUAUACUAUGAAGUUGCUUUUCAAUAUAUAUAUGUUCAAUGGUUUUGUACUUACCUAAUGGUCCUUAUUCCGCUACGAGACAUAGGGAUAGAUCCCGGUCCGUCCCAGGAGACGGUUUGGUGUUGGCAUAGGGCCUAGAGUGUGUUUCCUCUAGCUAUUUAGCACAGAGACGGGGAGCCGGCAUGGGACUUGGGGGUAAUUUUCCUCUGAUUGUCUGCUCAGUGACGGGGAGCCGGCAUGGGGCUUGGAGAGAUAUUGGACAUUUAUUAGUGAUUAUUAUAUAUACGAGUUAUAGUUUGAGACAUUGCACGACAAGCUAGGUUUUGGAAAACCUAUGUUUAUCAUGAUAUAUAUGUGUUUUCAUAAAACCUGGGGUUAGUACGUUGAUAACUGU